rnacentral:rRNA from 1 species
UACGUAGGUGGCGAGCGUUGUCCGGAAUUACUGGGCGUAAAGGGCGUGUAGGCGGGUUUGCAAGUCAGAUGUGAAAUUCCAGGGCUCAACCCUGGCGCUGCAUCUGAAACUGCAGAUCUUGAGUGCUGGAGAGGAAAGCGGAAUUCCUAGUGUAGCGGUGAAAUGCGUAGAUAUUAGGAGGAACACCAGUGGCGAAGGCGGCUUUCUGGACAGUAACUGACGCUGAGGCGCGAAAGCGUGGGGAGCAAACAGG